UACUCCUACGGGAGGCAGCAGCCGAGAAUAUUGGACAAUGGGCGAAAGCCUGAUCCAGCGACAUUGCGUGGAGGAUGAAGACGUUCGCGCCGUAAACUCCUUUUAUAGGGAAAGAAGUAAUUGACGGUACCCUAUGAGUAAGCGGGGGCUAAUUCUGUGCCAGCAGCCGCGGUAAUA
rnacentral:rRNA from 1 species